UGGGGAAUAUUGGACAAUGGGGGCAACCCUGAUCCAGCAAUGCCGCGUGUGUGAAGAAGGCCUGCGGGUUGUAAAGCACUUUUGGCAGGGAUGAAAAGCACUGGAUUAAUAACCCAGUGUGUUGACCUAACCUGCAGAAGAAGCACCGGCUAACUCUGUGCCAGCAGCCGCGGUAAUACAGAGGGUGCAAGCGUUAAUCGGAAUUACUGGGCGUAAAGCGCGCGUAGGCCGUCGAGUAAGUCGGAUGUGAAAUCCCCGGGCUUAACCUGGGAAUUGCAUUCGAUACUGCUUGGCUAGAGUGUGGAAGAGGGAAGCGGAAUUUCCGGUGUAGCGGUGAAAUGCGUAGAUAUCGGAAGGAACACCAGUGGCGAAGGCGGCUUCCUGGUCCAACACUGACGCUGAGGCGCGAAAGCGUGGGGAGCGAACAGG
rnacentral:rRNA from 1 species